AAAGAAGUGAAAAAGAGCUCCAAGCAGAACCACAACAACAGCAUCUCCUAUGAAAAAAAUGCCAUUGGGACCUCUCUAUCUAUAAAAACCUAACCAUUAGUGAGAAGAUCAACAAUUAGAAUCAUUAAAUAGAGCAAUAUCCCGCUUGAUUUGUUCCUCAAAGUAAUUAACCACUGAAGAUUCUAGCUCAGAGAAAGAGAGCCCUAACUGUUUCCCUAGCUUGACAGUUUGAAU
rnacentral:misc_RNA from 1 species